GCAGUUUCGCGGGAAGUCGGCCCGGCGGAGGGCAGAGCCCUGGGCGUGGAGGAAGCUGGAGCCAGGGGAGACUGGCAGGAAAGGAUCACGUGGGCCAGCGAGAGGAGAGCCUGGACAGGGGCCAGCAAAGGGCGAACUUCUGCAGACGAGGACUAUCCAGCCCUAGGGGUACGGGAGAGGGAAAGACGAGGCCGAGAGGGACCCUGACUUUGCAGCAGGGUGUCUGGGCAUUGGUGGCUCCACCUGCAGAACCAAAAGAAUCCACCAGGUCUGAUGGGCAAAGGUUCCUCCUCCCCUGCUGCAGCUAACAUGGAGGACUUGCAUGGAGAUGGUGGAGUCACAGGAUGAACACAGGCUAAGUCACUACCUGGAGGACAGCUGCCUGGACAGUCACCUGGAUCGCAGUGGACUGCAUGAAUGAAAACAAAGUUUCCUUUUUUGGUAUAGGCAGUUUGCCAACCCCCUACAUUCUCAGUCUGAUUUCCUCAUCCCAGUCACCAUGGGAGGCAACUGCUACUGAUCAUUGCACAGACAAGGAAAUUCAGGUCACAGCAAUGAGAGCCAGAGAGUCAAUUCGGCAAGGUCUCUGUCUUACUCUGCAUUCUUUACCUCCUUCCCACUGCCCAUCUCCUUCUGGGCUCCCCACCCAGUCCUUUGUGGGAUGCAAAGGGUGAAAGGGAUUGGAAGACUCAGGAGCCAUGAGGCCCAGGUCCCACCACAACCUUGAUGAUGCCAAAAGGGGCAAGAAUAGAAAAAAAUCUGCCCUACUGAGGUGGGCAUCUGCUUUCCCCCACCUCAGGAAAGAGGGCAGCAGUGUCCUCCUGAAGGCUGUGACUUCCUAAAGUCUGUGAGGGUUUAAUGUGGAAAUAUCAUGGAAGGGAGCGGGAGGGAACAUGCCUUGAGAUGAGGGAGUAGCCCGAUCCUGAGAGAGGGUUCUGACUUCUCCCAGACUUAGAGAGGGGAACAGAGGGCCAGGGAAUAUGAGGAAGUUGAGAUUUGGCAGCUAGUAGAUGCCAAGCCUGGAGUCAGUGAGGGGAGGAGAGCUGUGAGGGCCUCCCUGAGCCUCCUAGCAGUGCCUGACAGACAGGCAGGGAGGCCUGGGGUCCGCCAAAAGCACAAUGGUAAAGGCAGCAACCCCAAGGCCAAAGGCUGUGCCCCUUUCCCUCCCAUGUUCUAGCCUCACACAAGCCCAGAAUUCUCACAGGCUCCCCGGAUUGGGAAAAGCAGUACUCUGAUUUUUUGGAG
rnacentral:lncRNA from 10 species